ACCCGAUGCCAGGUCCAGUGGACAGACUUCAGACGUCUCUGUGUGUCCGGUCCUGUCCGGUCCUGUCUCUGGUUGCCAGGUUACAGACGCUGCUGCACCCGCACGUUUAAAAAUGUCUACACCUGAAACUCCACCACGUCUAAAGAAGCAAAAACGUUUGCAAAUGUACAGACUGGAGUGGGAAGAGUGGAACCCCUGGCAAUGGGUACAAGACAAACUGUGUUUUCUGUUGCUCAUGGACUGGCUGAAGUAAGGCAGCAUCAGGAGACAAACAUGGAGGAAAUAUGAGAACAGAGAGAACCCAACCAGCAGGUCACAGUUUAUCAUCAUCUAAUCAUCUCCUGAAGUCGAAAUGGUCCCUCUCUAUCUCCCCACACAUCCACCAACCACUGGAACACAUCUCCAAAGUUCUGCCAGGCCAGCUCAGCUUCCCCUCAGAAGAAGUGCUGCCACCUGCCAGAUGAAGGAGCCUUUUGAGAGGCAGCAGACAUCGUGAUUGGACUGUACUUUGGUCUGUUCCAAUCCAGCUUCAGCUCCAGAGACGGCAGGCGGGACGAGUCAACGGAGGCCGGGUGGACGAAGGCAUGCAGCUGAGUACAAUACAGAAAACAACAGAGGAGGAGUGCAGUGGCUCAGGGCCAGAACAAACACAGUAGCAUCGUAUGUCUCUUAGAAAACAUCAUAGUAUAGCCUUUGGUAUGAAAAAACGCCAUCAUAUACAUCGUAUAUUGUACAAAUAACAAGUCAAAGGAAAGAGACAUACAUUGUAGAAUUGUAGUAAUUGUGGGCCGAAUGAUUUACUGAUUAUCAGUAUUUGAUUUUUUACUGAUUUACGGGAAUAAAUAAAUUUUAAAAUGGCGCUACUUUGGCUCUGAACCUUAAUCUACCUGUGGUCGCUCUGUCUUCUGGAGUGAUUUGAUUGGUUAUACGUCACGAAUAAAACUCCUUUAAC
ensembl:lncRNA